rnacentral:misc_RNA from 1 species
AGCAGAUGGUCUCUCAUAGCCUCUCAACUACCAGGAAGAACAGAUAAUGACGUGAAAAAUUAUUGGAACACCAAAUUAAAGAAGAAGCUAUCACUUGAAGGAAAAACAAGCCUAGCAAUCAAGAACAACACAGAGAUCAUCACUCCUGCUAAGAAUUCUACUAAUUCUGCUCCUUGUUCCACACCUUCACUGCCUUGUAUCCUCCCAAAGACUGAAACUAACGGCAGCCUCACGUUCUGGGACUCAAUAACUCAAAGUUCAGUAACAUUGCCC